rnacentral:sRNA from 1 species
UAAUAUAAAUCGAAAGGAAUGAUGGGUGGACAAUGGAUAACUAAUCUUAUUUUUUAGAAUUUGAAAUUUUAUAUUUCGAAUGAUAAUAAUUUAGGAUUAGUCUACCCAUUUUUCUACCAUCAUUAGAGCUAUCAAGCGCGGUAGCUUAUUUCAGUACGGUAAAAUGCGGCUAAUCCUUCCAAAUGAAUUGGGAGGAUUUUUUA